rnacentral:lncRNA from 1 species
AGGGAAUAUGCUUUUAAUAACUCUCCAAAUUCCUUCCAACAAAGGUCCACUCUGAGGAUCUCCAAGGAGCUCUGGGAAGCUGUAUGACAAGCACCUGAGACUUCUGUUCCCUAGCCAGGUUAAAAGGAGCAGCCCCUUUUGAUAACACCAAUCAGGAUCUUCUCUCUCUCCUGCCACCACCCUCAACUCUGCAGACUCCGUGAGC